GACGAACGCUGGCGGCGUGCCUAAUACAUGCAAGUAGAACGCUGAAGGGGGAGCUUGCUUCUCUGGAUGAGUUGCGAACGGGUGAGUAACGCGUAGGUAACCUGCCUGGUAGCGGGGGAUAACUAUUGGAAACGAUAGCUAAUACCGCAUAAGAGUAGAUGUCGCAUGACAUUUGCUUAAAAGGUGCAAUUGCAUCACUACCAGAUGGACCUGCGUUGUAUUAGCUAGUUGGUGAGGUAACGGCUCACCAAGGCAACGAUACAUAGCCGACCUGAGAGGGUGAUCGGCCACACUGGGACUGAGACACGGCCCAGACUCCUACGGGAGGCAGCAGUAGGGAAUCUUCGGCAAUGGACGGAAGUCUGACCGAGCAACGCCGCGUGAGUGAAGAAGGUUUUCGGAUCGUAAAGCUCUGUUGUAAGAGAAGAACGAGUGUGAGAGUGGAAAGUUCACACUGUGACGGUAUCUUGCCAGAAAGGGACGGCUAACUACGUG
rnacentral:rRNA from 1 species